rnacentral:lncRNA from 1 species
GUUUAUUCCUUGAAUGCCAACAUCCUUUGAUCUACCGACAAUUUACCUGUAAAAUUAUGUUGGCGUUCGAGGAAUAGGUGCAAGUAGUUAUCACAACAAAAGUGCAUGCUUAUCAAAACAAUCAUACUAAUUAAACAUGAUAGGUAAAUUACAGGUAGCUCAAUCCAAUUCAUAUUUGUCAAGUUGUUGAAAGUCAUUUUUUGCUGUUACUGCUCGAACAGUAUGGAUUUUCUUAAAAUAAAUAGAGUCUUUCAACUUUGAUGUGGCUUUUUUUCUAUAUUUUCAUAGUUGUGUGUGCUGUAAUAUCCUCCCAUAUUAAUUGAUAGUUUUUUUUUUAUUUUGUAGCUCGUAUUGGAUUACAUUGUGUUAUUUUGUUCAGUUGUUCAGG